UCGAAGGUAGCAUAAUCAGUAGUCUUUUAAUUGAAGGCUGGUAUGAAUGGUUGAACGAAAUAUUAACUGUUUCAUUAAAAUUUAUAAUAGAAUUUUAUUUUUUAGUCAAAAAGCUAAAAUAUUAUUUAAAGACGAGAAGACCCUAUAAAUCUUUAUAUUUAAUUUAUUAUAAUUUUUUAGAUAAUUUUUAUUAUAAUAAUAAAUAAUAUUUUAUUGGGGUGAUAUUAAAAUUUAAUAAACUUUUAAUUAUUAAAAUCAUUAAUUUAUGAAUAAUUGAUCCAUUUUUAAUGAUUAAAAAAAUAAGUUACUUUAGGGAUAACAGCGUAAUUUUUUUGGAGAGUUCUUAUCAAUAAAAAAGAUUGCGACCUCG
rnacentral:rRNA from 1 species